AUUGAACGCUGGCGGCAGGCUUUACACAUGCAAGUCGAGCGGUAACGCGUGUAGCAAUACAUGGCGACGAGCGGCGGACGGGUGAGUAAUGCACAGGAAUCUGCCUAUUAGUGGGGGAUAGCUCGGAGAAAUCCGGAUUAAUACCGCAUAUUGCCUGAGGGUGAAAGGGGGGGAUCGUAAGACCUCUCGCUAAUAGAUGAGCCUGUGUGGGAUUAGCUUGUUGGUGAGGUAAUGGCUCACCAAGGCGACGAUCCCUAGCUGAUUUGAGAGAGGGAUCAGCCACACUGGGACUGAGAUACGGCCCAGACUCCUACGGGAGGCAGCAGUGGGGAAUAUUGGACAAUGGGGGCAACCCUGAUCCAGCCAUGCCGUGUGUGUGAAGAAGGUCUUCGGAUUGUAAAGCACUUUUGGAGAUGAAGAAGGCUGCUCAACUAAUACUUGAGUAGAUUGACGGUAAUCUCAGAAAAAGCACCGGCUAACUCCGUGCCAGCAGCCGCGGUAA
rnacentral:rRNA from 1 species